GGAUGAACGUUGGCGGCGUGCCUAAUACAUGCAAGUCGAACGAAGACUGUAGUAAUACUGUCUUAGUGGCGAACGGGUGAGUAACGCGUGGGUGACCUGCCCCGAAGUGUGGGAUAACAGUUCGAAAGGAUUGCUAAUACUGCAUAAUAUCCAAGAGAUUAGACGCUUUUGGAUUAAAGGAGUAAUUCGCUUCGGGAGGGGCCCGCGUCCCAUCAGCUAGUUGGUAAGGUAAUGGCUUACCAAGGCGAUGACGGGUAGGGGACCUGAGAGGGUGGCCCCCCACAAUGGAACUGAAACACGGUCCAUACACCUACGGGAGGCAGCAGUGGGGAAUCUUGCGCAAUGGGCGAAAGCCUGACGCAGCAACGCCGCGUGCGGGAUGAAGGCCUUCGGGUUGUAAACCGCUUUCAGCAGGGACGAAGAUGACGGUACCUGCAGAAGAAGCUCCGGCUAACUACGUGCCAGCAGCCGCGGUAAUACGUAGGGAGCAAGCGUUGUCCGGAUUUAUUGGGCGUAAAGAGCUCGUAGGCGGUUUCGUAAGUCGAGUGUGAAAAAUCUGGGCUUAACCCAGUGGAGCACUUGAUACUGCGAUGACUUGAGUUUGGUAGAGGAGUGUGGAAUUCCCGGUGUAGCGGUGAAAUGCGCAGAUAUCAGGAGGAACACCAACGGCGAAGGCAGCACUCUGGGCCAGUACUGACGCUGAUGAGCGAAAGCUGGGGGAGCAAACAGGAUUAGAUACCCUGGUAGUCCCAGCUGUAAACGAUGAGUGCUAGGUGUGGGGGGCGACAAUCCUCCGUGCCGCAGUUAACGCAAUAAGCACUCCGCCUGGGGAGUACGGCCGCAAGGCUAAAACUCAAAGGAAUUGACGGGGGCCCGCACAAGCAGUGGAGCGUGUGGUUUAAUUCGAGGCAACGCGCAGAACCUUACCAGGGUUUGACAUCAUACCGACGUCUGUAGAAACACAGAUUUCCGCUUAGGCGGACGGUAUGACAGGUGUUGCAUGGUUGUCGUCAGCUCGUGUCGUGAGAUGUUGGGUUAAGUCCCGCAACGAGCGCAACCCCUAUCCAAUGUUGCCAACAGGUAAAGCUGGGGACUCAUUGGAGACUGCCGGAGACGAUCUGGAGGAAGGUGGGGAUGAGGUCAAAUCAUCAUGGCCCUUAAGCCCUGGGCUACACACGCGCUACAAUGGCCGGUACAACGGGCAGCGAAGGAGCGAUCCGGAGCGAAUCCCAAAAAGCCGGCCCCAGUUGGAAUCGCAGGCUGCAACUCGCCUGCGUGAACAUGGAAUUGCUAGUAAUCGCGAAUCAGCUACGUCGCGGUGAAUACGUUCCCGGGCCU
rnacentral:rRNA from 1 species